UACGUAGGGCGCAAGCGUUGUCCGGAAUUAUUGGGCGUAAAGAGCUCGUAGGCGGUCUGUCACGUCGGCUGUGAAAACCCGGGGCUCAACCCCGGGCCUGCAGUCGAUACGGGCAGACUAGAGUGCGGCAGGGGAGACUGGAAUUCCUGGUGUAGCGGUGAAAUGCGCAGAUAUCAGGAGGAACACCGGUGGCGAAGGCGGGUCUCUGGGCCGUAACUGACGCUGAGGAGCGAAAGCGUGGGGAGCAAACAGG
rnacentral:rRNA from 1 species